GGCCCCAUAGCUCAAAUGGAUAGAGCAGCGGUUUCCUAAACCGUUGAUCCCCGUUCAAUUCGGGGUGGGGCUACCA
rnacentral:tRNA from 1 species